AUGGUGGGGGGUGGAAAGCUUUAUUGUGGUUUUGGAUGGACUCGCGGCCUAUCAGCUUGUUGGUGAGGUAAUGGCUUACCAAGGCGACAACGGGUAGCCGGCCUGAGAGGGUGACCGGCCACACUGGGACUGAAACACGGCCCAAACUCCUACGGGAGGCAGCAGUGGGGAAUAUUGCACAAUGGGCGAAAGCCUGAUGCAGCGACGCCGCGUGAGGGAUGACGGCCUUCGGGUUGUAAACCUCUUUCAGUAGGGAAAAAGCGAAAGUGACGGUACCUGCAAAAAAAGCGCCGGCUAACUACGUGCCAGCAGCCGCGGUAAUACGUAGGGCGCAAGCGUUAUCCGGAAUUAUUGGGCGUAAAGAGCUCGUAGGCGGUUUGUCGCGUCUGCCGUGAAAGUCCGGGGCUCAACUCCGGAUCUGCGGUGGGUACGGGCAGACUAGAGUGAUGUAGGGGAGACUGGAAUUCCUGGUGUAGCGGUGAAAUGCGCAAAUAUCAGGAGGAACACCGAUGGCGAAGGCAGGUCUCUGGGCAUUAACUGACGCUGAGGAGCGAAAGCAUGGGGAGCGAACAGGAUUAGAUACCCUGGUAGUCCAUGCCGUAAACGUUGGGCACUAGGUGUGGGGGACAUUCCACGUUUUCCGCGCCGUAGCUAACGCAUUAAGUGCCCCGCCUGGGGAGUACGGCCGCAAGGCUAAAACUCAAAGGAAUUGACGGGGGCCCGCACAAGCGGCGGAGCAUGCGGAUUAAUUCGAUGCAACGCGAAGAACCUUACCAAGGCUUGACAUGAACCGGUAAUACCUGGAGACAGGUGCCCCGCUUGCGGUCGGUUUACAGGUGGUGCAUGGUUGUCGUCAGCUCGUGUCGUGAGAUGUUGGGUUAAGUCCCGCAACGAGCGCAACCCUCGUUCUAUGUUGCCAGCACGUGAUGGUGGGGACUCAUAGGAGACUGCCGGGGUCAACUCGGAGGAAGGUGGGGACGACGUCAAAUCAUCAUGCCCCUUAUGUCUUGGGCUUCACGCAUGCUACAAUGGCCGGUACAAAGGGUUGCGAUACUGUGAGGUGGAGCUAAUCCCAAAAAGCCGGUCUCAGUUCGGAUUGGGGUCUGCAA
rnacentral:rRNA from 1 species